AAUUGAUAUCAAAAUUAAAAUUAAAAAAUAAACAUAGAGUCAUUCAUCUCCGUCGAACCUCCAUCGAUGUCGUCUUACCUUGUCAAGGUCCACCGAUCUCGUCGUCUAUGUUCUUUGUUUCGACCCAUCACCUCACAAUCGAACCAUAUAUCAUUCGUUUUCUCUCCUUCAAACCCUAAAUUGCUCUUCGUUAUUAACACCUCUAUCAACCAUGUAACCAAAAAAAAAACACCUCUAUCAACCACGCUCGAACACCACCCUCACCCCUUCUUCGUUGCCAGAAAGAAAGAAACUAUCACGCAAAGGAGCUUUUUUGCCAACCCCUUCACUGACGAGCUUCUGCCCUCAUACACAGGUGUUGCAAACUAUUUGAUUUUGGAUUUUAGUGUGGUAUCAUCUAUUUGUUUUCAAUCACUUAGUAUUGUUUAUUUUGAGGUGUCUUCAUUUCAGGUAAUUCAUUUUUUAAAGAUAAUUGUUUGAUGAUUAAGAAUUUGAAACACCCUCACUUGCUUGUUGUGUGGUUUGUGAAUGUAUUGAAGAAAUUGAAGUUGUAAAUUUUAAUCCAUGUUUACAUUAUUUUCUUGCCAUAUAUUAGAUUAGGUUGUUCUAUCUUUGUGUGAUUUUAGACAUAGAUUGUUGAUCAUCUUUGCCACAUGAAAAAGUGUAAAUCUAUUAAUCUUGUUGUUGUGUUUGAACAGUUGGAAUGGUUCUUGUAUAAAAAGGGUUGCUCAAAUGCAUCUUCUCCAUAAAUUUGUAGGUUACAUUAUAGGUGAUGAUUUUCAAUUUUAAGUAAAAAAAGCUAAAUUUAUAAUGUUUUCAAUCCCUAUAAUGAUGCCUCUGCUACUGGAAUUUAAUUUAACUUACUCCUAUUUCUAGUUGAUAUAUUAUGAUUUCUCUUUGUUUUCAUUGUACAGGAAACUUGACAUGCUUUGAUAUAUAAAUUAAGAAGUGGUCAAAGUAAUAGGUUCAAGUUCUUUGAAAUUUGGUGGAUGAGAAUUUUCUGCAUUUCCUCAUAGGAUUGAUUGAAAAGGGGCAUUCUUUCCUGUGCGUUUUUAAAUGGUUUCAACCGCACCAACUGAAGUUCUUUCAUAUGUGAGGAGAUCAUAUACUGGUGAUAUUUACCACGUCUUUAAAAAAAUCAUACAGGUACCAAGCUACCAAGCUUACUUUGCACAUGUAACUUAUUUUAUGGUAAAACUUGUAUGUAUCUGCAAUUGUAAAUGAUUCAGGAAAAUAAUAGGUAUGCCUCAAAUCACACAUUGGGAAUGGAUCUGCCACUCUUAGGUUCCAACUAAAGAAAGCUGACAUUGCUUAUAUAAGACACCUUUCUGCCAGGCUUCCCGAGGUUACAUCUAUUAUCUAUAUCUUUCAUUGAACUUAAUGAUUUUAUUUUUAGUUGACUACAAGAAUCAAGUUGCAGCCUGCAGGUAUCUCUUUCUAUCUUUCACUUGUGUAGUUCCCUUAAUAGGAUCUUUGUAUUAAAAAAAUUAAACACUUUAUUUGUUGUUUUGUAUACUGUGAAAUGAAUGACUUUCAGGUGAAGAGGGAAGAUUAAAUCAAAUAGUAGAUAAAGAUCUAAUGGGAGAGUGACUUAUUUAAAUGGGAAGAAAUUGUCCAUGUUGCACUCAUGUGUAGACAUAUUUCAGGUGACUUUGUUUAUUAUGUGGAAUUGCAUAUGCCUCUAAGUACUAAGGCACCACAUGUAGAGUUAUGAAUUUUGUGACAAUCUGAGCUGGUAAUUAAGGCUUUUUUCAUGUAUCAAAGAUCAACUAUUUUGAAAUCAGUGGUGUCAUUUAUAAGCAAAGGAUUGAUUAAGUUUGCCAUUUUGAUACCUCUAGAUAUAUUUGAGUUGUAUUUUGAAGUUGGAUUAUUUUAUAACCAAUACUUGGUUAAUAUUGUAGUGCAUGUCACUUAUUUUAUUUCUUAUGAGCAGUUUGAUUUUAGGAUUAAUGAAAUUUGUUUGGUUUUUAUUAUCCAGAUUCAGAAAAACUAGCACUCAUUAUCAGACAUGAAAACAAAUGAGUAUAUGCCAACAAUGGUGGUGUUGACAAGACAAAAGUUGCCAACAUUAUUGUACGCAGAGAGGGAUCAAUGGUGCUUUUACUUCUACUUCAUUUGAAAGAUCAAGGAUGUGAAUUUUGACGUAUCAAUUUAUAUUUAGCUAGUUUUGUGAUUUUUCCAUCUCGUUGCUUAUCAAUGCUUAGCAAUGUAUUUAAUGCUCUGUAAUUCAUAUAUUGAUUAGUUUAAAUGCAAAUUGUAAUUGGAUUUGAAGAUAUCCAUUGUAUUAUACAGUAGUAACUUGUAAA